rnacentral:rRNA from 1 species
GAUGAACGCUAGCCACAGGCUUAACACAUGCAAGUCGAGGGGUAACGAGAGGAAAGCUUGCUUUCCCUGUCGACGACCGGCGCACGGGUGAGUAACGCGUAUCCAACCUGCCCCCAACUAGGGAAUAACCUUGCGAAAGUAAGACUAAUACCCUAUAAUUUCCUCAGAUGACAUCUGACGAGGAAUAAAGAUUUAUCGGUUGUGGAUGGGGAUGCGUCUGAUUAGCUUGUUGGCGGGGUAACGGCCCACCAAGGCAACGAUCAGUAGGGGUUCUGAGAGGAAGGUCCCCCACAUGGGAACUGAGACACGGUCCAAACUCCUACGGGAGGAAGCAGUGAGGAAUAUUGGUCAAUGGGCGGAAGCCUGAACCAGCCAAGUAGCGUGCAGGAUGACGGCCCUAUGGGUUGUAAACUGCUUUUAUACAGGAAUAAAGUUAGCCACGUGUGGUUAUUUGUAGGUACUGUAUGAAUAAGGACCGGCUAAUUCCGUGCCAGCCGCCGCCGUAA